UAAACAGUAUCGGAAAAUAAACAAACUUUCUUCGGCUAUUUAUUAUUCGCAACAGCUAUUGAAAAAGCUCAAUAGCUAAACACAAACAAUGAAAAAUAUUUUAAAAGUGACAGAGUGGGGAAUUUUGCAAGGAAUGUAGAGCGCCGAUUAUAUGCUUUAAAUUCAACAAAACUGGGGACAUGGAUAUAAAUGGAAAAUAGGGAAGGACAAACGAGAAGAGUACUAUAUAAACCAAAAUCAAAGGACUUAAUCCUUACGAUUACGUCAAAAAGCGAUGUAAAUUUUAUCGCAAUGAUUGAUUCCGUGUGUGAUCUGAGCCUGAUGCAAGAAGAAGCAAGAAAACAAUAGAACGGCAGUAUGCAAUACAUAAUGUAGAACCAAAAUUAGAUAGAGUAGUUCGAAGCUGUGUAGAAUGUCGAAUUUUAAACAUUGUGGAUCUAGAUCUAGAUCCGAUACACAAAACAUAAACAUCACACCUCCUCACGCACUGAAUGCUAAUGAGCUUAAGAAUGAGCAAAAAAUUCGAACGAAAAAAAGACAACUAAAAAAAAAAUCAUGUAAGGAAUGUUGGUAAUCAAGUGGGUUUGGAAUGAACUAAAAAUUAGGAUGGCCGAAAUUGUGGUACAAUAAGGGGAUGAAGAAUGAGACAAGGCGUUUGAGAAUUGAGUGGAAAGAAAGAUAGUGGGACAAACAAGAGACAACGCUAUAAUCGAGUUCUUCAAUUAUCAGAUACCCGUUACUAAGCUAUGGAGAGUGCUAAUAAAAAAGUUCAACCUUCUACUUACAUAUCGAUAGAAAUUGGCAAAAAUUAAAUGAACAAAUAUAAAAAAAGAAUAUCAAUAGAAAUUUACAAAAAUAAUAUGUUUUAAAUUAUUUUUCAAAGCCAAUCAAAUUUUUAGUAUACAAGACAAAUAAUAAAAAGAACAAAUGUCAUCUUAUCUUUUAAAAUACAAAUAAUAUAUUUAUAUAUAUAUUGUUUAGCACAAUUGUUUAUCUUAGUAAUAUUUUGAUCAACGACUACACAACUUUGCCUUACUCCGGACACGACAACUUUCGGCUUGACGAUCUUUUUACUGCACAACUUUCAACUCGCUUUUUUCUUCUUCGACUCACUCUAUGCUUGUCCAUUUUCUUAUAACUCCUUCUUUCUCUUCUGCCUGCGCUCACGACGCUACCCCUUGCGAAGAUUAUCGAUCAUCGCAUAUCAAUAACUAUCGUUACAUUCGGCCAUCCUGAUCGAUGUCGUCUGACCCAGACGAUCAUAUUUCUUCAUUUGUAGACGCGUACUCCCAUAGCUUCAUAUUUUCUGCACAUGUUGCAGUUAUUGUAGGGCAACUCUGUUGUUGUCCAAACGUGUUCAAUACCAUUUGACUUGGUAUAUUCAUUAAAGCUGUUUGCGGUAAAUGCCACGCCCCUGUCACUGAUAAUGCGUAGCGGCUGACCAAAAAUAUUAGACCAUUCCCUUUUCAAUGCAGUUCAAAAAUCCUUCUGGCUUUCCCAACUUCUUCUUAACAAUAAUGCACUUGACGCAAGUGUUAAUCAGCUGGGCUACUUUUCGUUCCAUAUGUGGUAUCCAGAACUGCUGCUGUAGUGUGUGAAUUGUUUUUUGCAAUGCAAAAUGGCCAACACUGUGUCCAUCCGCUAUAGCUUCAUGCUCCAUUGUUUUAGGUACGACCAACAAGUCACUGCCGUUCAUGGUGUUGUAUACAAUUCCACCUUUCAGCUUACAAUUUUCAUACGGCUGCAAUUUUAAUGUUUCUGCUAUAGCUUUAAUGUAGUUAUCCUUCCUGGGCAACUUUUAAUCUAGCUGUAACUUCUGAUGUUAUGGCAAAAACAUCUUGUGGAUAUCGACUGACACUGUCAACGUGCUUCAUCCUGCUGCCGGAGCGAUGUUUGACUUCGAAAUUAAAGUCCUGCAAAGCAAGGAUUUAUUGUUUGCGAAAAAGCAGCGCAAUCUUUCACCAACUUGAAAUGUAUGCCUAGCAGGUAGUAGCGUAAUUUCUGCAUGGCAAGAUAUGAUGCUUUAACCUCCAGCUUUGAAUCGCUCUGCGGCGUCUUUUUGCUCCGAUAAAAUACAGAAUGCUGCUGCUUGUCAAACUCCUGUGUCAAUACUGCACCAAAUCCAUCCUUGGCGCCUGUCGACGGUAUAUACUUAGUACAGGUUCUGAUGACAAUGAAUUUUUUUCGGAGCUUAUAGCGUUUAGUUCUUCUGCCUCCAUCUUGAAAACCACGUCAAGUUAGUUAACGGGCCAGCGACCUGAGCGUAAUCUCGAAUGAAUUUGCGGAAAAAUCCGGUCAACCCCAAAAAGGAUUGGACGCCUUUUAUGUUCUUUGGACAUUUGAACCUCUGCACAGCUUGCGUCUUGGUCAAAUCUUGCCCAUUUCCACGGUGUGGCCCAGAAAGUCAAUUCUGUUCAACCGUCAACGUGUACUCUGCCCAUAAAUGAACCUAUCGGCUGCGUCUUAGCGUUUCCAAGGCCUCGUAGAACGGAGUAACACUUCUGCAUCACAGUACUUUGAAGUUUUUUGUACAAAGACUGACAUACGAUUGACAUAUCGGAUCCUGUGUCCACAAGGCAGGCGACACAGCGCCUGUAUCUUUACGCGCGUAGUAUCUUUUACGACUUGAACACUUUUUACAGCUUGUAGACAAUUUAAAGAUAUAUGACCGCUGCCUGCACAUUGAAAAGAUUUUGUUUCUGCCUUGCAGUCUUUUCUCAUGUGUUCAUUAGAGCCGCAGUUGUAGCAAAGAAUACUUUUUCCAUCGGUUAUAUUUUUUCUGCCACCCCUGUAUUGCUUUUGCGGCUUUUCGAUAACACACUUGCUUUCGUACAGUUCUCUGUAUGAUUUGCUGCCAUACAAUGCAAAUUUGAACUCGCUUUUAAUAUCCAGCCCGUCAACUAUAUAAGCGAUAAUAGACUCAACAUCAAUUUGUCCAAGUGCUGCAAUCUUUUUAAUGUUAGCAUGUAUUCGUGCAUGCUUUCGUCGCUCUUCUUCUUCCUGUGCGUCAGUUUUGCAUGUACAUCGGUACUUUUCGACGCGCGUUUAAAUUUGCCAAUUAGGGCAUUUUUAUGUUGCUCAUAUGUGCUCACCAACUCUGACUUCAAAAACAACUUGGCCAUUUUAACCAUUUUUCCUCGUGCCUGCACAUACCGUUGUUUUUCCGUAAGCUCAUAUGCAUCUGCAUUCUGCACAAAAUUUUCAAGCCAAAUCUCUACUGGGAUGCUGACGCCAUCGACCAACAAUUUUUUCAAAAUUGUCUGCAGUUAUUUUCGGCUCUUAAGAGUAAGCAAGUGAAUUAUUUGUUGUAGACUUUGAGGUGGUCCAAAAGAAGAGGUGGUCCAAAAGGAUGGCAAAGAAGGCGACGUGUAUAAAUAAAUAAGCUCACGGAAUUUCGCUCUGGCCGGAACAUCAAGUAUAGCCGAGGAGCCCGUACAUUGGCUGUACCACCAAUAAAUUACAUCCAAUUAAAUUGGACCAGGUGAUUUUACCGGAAAUGUUUGGCACAUGCCUUUGCGUACCAAGAUGACAUCAUCGUUAUUGGUUGCCCCGAAGAACACGAACCUAAAGAUAAACCCAGAAAAAUGACCAUUCUUCAAGCAAGAAGAAGUUUACCUAGGACAUCGCGUUACAAGCCGAGGGAUAGGUACGGACCCAGAAAAGGUAGCAGCCAUAGCCCGGUUAGAACCACCUUCGUCGGUCCGUGAGCUGAGACAGUACCUUGGAGUUUCAUCUUGGUACCGACGUUUCGUGCCUGACCUCGCACGAAUUGUGAGGCCACUAACCACCCUACGCAAGGGUACCUAGUUCACAUGGUCACAGGACCACUAGCAAGCCUUUGAGGAGGUAAAAGCAAGAUUGGUCACAGACCCAGUCCUGGCGUGGGAUGACGGAUAGGCGCGAUUCUCACGCAGGAUACAGAAGAGGGCGGGAAAGUUAUUUCGUACUCUAUCCCUAAACGGACCCUAAACGGAGCCGAGCAAAACGUUUUAACAACAGAAAUGGAGUUUUUGGCAAUUGUGUGGGCAAUUUGGAAAUUAAAGCCAUACUUUAAAGUCAAGGUAGUGACGGAUCACAUGGUGCUGAAAUGGCUAAACAAAAGAAUUGCCGUCUAAACAUUGCCCAGUUCGAACCAUGGAAACAAUAUGUUGUUGGUGCUGAUCGACAGAUUUUCUAGAUGGACUGAGUUGGUACCUUCGCGAACAGCCAUGGCGGAUGCGUUGCAGAAUGCAAUCGGGAACGCAUUGUCGCGAGUUUUGGAGUCGCGUACGUGGUGAUCACAGACAAGAGACAAGACAAGUGCAUCAGAGUAUACGGGCUACUCACCGGCGUUUUUUACACAAGGCCCCGAGCCCAGACUACCGAACGCAUUGUACGCUAGGUACAGAAAGGCAACCAGAGUCUCCGAGGGAUUUGCGGCCAAGCUUGCUUUUAGUGUCACUGGUUAUCAGAUUGUGGAUUUCGUAUCGCUAGUAAUCUUUAAGAGCCGCCACCGGUUUCUUUACUACCCACGGUACCCGGUACAGUGAGACCAAGGAAUUUAAAUGAGACCGGAGGACUGUUUAGGUGUCUGGCCACAGCCGGAAUUUACAAUCCCCACCACCGGUGGAAGGUGAGAUCUCCACCAUUGAGAUUACGUGAAGGACCUGAGAACGGACGCUAUAUGACAACCGUUUCAGCGUCAGACCAAGGCGAGAGUCAACUUAGGCUGACGGCAGAGUGCGCGCGAGAAGCGAAGCGAUGCGAUAAUAUUGGGCGAGAACGAGCGAUAAAGCUCUCCAAGCAUUUUUAAGUGAAAUCACUCGAAAUAUGUCAGAGUGAGAGCGAGGCGAGUAGCGUGCUCAAGCGAUAAAGCGAGAGCAAAGCGAGAGAGCAUUUUGCAACCUGCUUUAUCGCUUCAACUCGCUCAGAGCGUACGAUUGUUUUGUUGCAUUCUGUGCUUUAUUUACCGUUUGCUUUCAAAGCAUGCGUUUUUAAUGUUUUCAUUUGGUGGGAUUUGUGAGAAAACAAAACGAAAUGGAGAUAAACGUUGAAAAAUUAAUUGACGAAAUAUUUUUACGCCCAGCGCUAUGGGAUCAAAAGAGCAAGAUCUAUCAUAAUAGAGCCUUGGUGAAAAAAAAAUUGGACAGAGAUGAAAAACAUAUUUGAAACAGAAAAAGGCUGUUUAAAAAAAAAAAUGGAAGAACAUCCGCGACCAGUUCCGAGGCGAAUGGAAAAAAAUUACCAAAAUUCCCAAAUCUGGAGACCCUGGAAUUUCGGAGGAGGCUUACAGCCAUUACACUUCUUGGCCUCAUUUCACCAGUUUGCUUUUUUUAAAAAACCAGAUGAAACCGAGCAAAUUGGUUGGAAGUUUUGACGCAUCAUCACAAUUUACCUUCGAGGCAGCUUCACCGGGAUUUUCAUCAGAAGUGUGAUGAUCAACCAAUUUGUCCACCAAAAAAAAAAACAAAAGAAGGUGACUGCAGCGGAGGAAUUGGUUGCUAUUGAACAAUAAAAAAGAGAAAGACGACGACGAGGCAUUUUUUGACAGCCUACUACCAUACUUGCGGAAAAUGGAUCCGAAAAAAAAUUAUUAUGCCGAAUGGAAAUUCAAAAAACAAUUUUUAAUUUUUCUUUUGACGAUAUUUCCGAUACACAAUAAAUAUAUUAAAAACUUACCUCAAUGUUAUUAUUAAUUUUUGACAAAGCAUUAUGGGGUGUAUAACAAAAUUUGGCCAAUUCUUUAUCAAACGACUAUUAAUUAUAUUUAAUAUAUAAUCAAAAGUCGAAAUAGACAUACGCGUAUAGUUAAAGAACCUAUCUGGGUAGUUUUGCAAAUCAUUGUAUAAAUUGUGUAAUUCCCCUUUUUUCAUUUCUGUUGGUGUUUAGGGGGUGGACGCCGGUUUUUUUUUUUAUUAUAAGGUUUAUAGUUGCACUUGAUGCGAAAAAUUCUUCGUCCGAAUCCAUCUCGUUCACAUUUAUAAAUAAAAGAGAGCAAUGUAGCUCGCUUCUCGUCUCGCUCUCACUCUGUCAUCUUAUCGCUUUGCUCAUAGCUUCUCGCUACGCUUCGCAUCGCUUCGCUUCUCGCGCGCACUCUGCCGUCAGCCUUAGACGUGCCGCGAGCGAACUAAAGUACUGCCACAGCCGAGACAGGAGGAUCGAGGAAGCAGGAAAGCUAGCCGUCUAUCUCCAGAGCCAACAGGAUCUACCGCCUAUUAAAUUUCGAAGAAAGAGGAUAGACGGUACGGCGUAACAGAGCAGUACCGUAAGGAUAAACAACUGGAGUCAGAGACAGACAGAUGCAGACUGAAGACCGGGCCCCGGGAUACAAUGGGCAAGAAGACAUAACGGUGGCGAAGAGAGAGGGAGACACCCAUACAUACACUGAGGAAAAUAACAGGAAAGUCCAAAAAGGAUGCUCGAAACUGAGGUAUCGUGGAGAUACGAGAUCGAACCAUCACCGUGAAUUCGAAUCACCCGACAAGAAGCGCUAAAGCUGGCUGCUCUGGGUCAAGGUCCGCCAAGUAGCAAGGGCGGUUGCCUAUUCGCCCGCCCACCCGAGCUCCGAGGCGUGGAGUCGAGGACAAUAAAGGAGAUCGGUGGUCACGCCCGAAUGAAGCGACCUGGAAUGGGAGGAGAACCCGCCCAGAAAAGAUGGAGGUGGAGACUGGACAGGGCCUGGGACUGAGCGGCAGACCGGAUCCUACCAGGGACCGCCCCAGCCUUUGAAGAGGCAAAAUCCCAAAGGGAGCGGGGAGACAUCGGUAAUCCAACGUCCAACGACAGUUUGGAGGCAAUAUGGGCCUCGCAGCCCGGAAGAAGUACGAGGCCGCCAAAGAGACGCGGAUCUGCAUGCAGCAGAGAACGGCCAUGCAUGUGGUCCUAAAGCGGUCGAUGGACCAGGUAGAAAAGGAGAAGCGGCGGCAGGAGGAGCUGCGGAAGGCAGAACCACGCGGCUUGGAGGCAGGUUGCCUGUUAGAAAGAAGGAUCGGACCUCAUGUGGGAGAGGGAACUGACCGACACCCCCCGGUACAUUUACUCGAAGGAGGUGGCCACGGCGUCUUCGCUGUUUGAUCCGUUGAGAUUACUUACUCUCAUCAUCAUAGUGGCAAAAAUUAUCCUCCUCCCACAACAUAAUCCCAGCUGAUCAAUUUGGCUUUCGUUAAAGCCAUGAAAUUAUUGAUCAAGUGAAUAGAGUAACGACAGAUAUUAGAACCACAUUCUAAAAUCGAGAAUACUGUACAGCAGUUUUUUUUAGAUGUAUAACAAUCUUUCGACCUAACCACGCUUAAUGGAUUAAUGUUAAAAAUCAGAACAGCUCUGCUAAAAGCAAACACAAGCUUAUAAAGCCACACCUUUAUGUCAGCUAGUUUGCAGUCCGAGGCAACACUACCACUCCUGCUGACCUUAAAAUAAAAGGAGCCCCUCCAGAUACGGUUUAACUCUAAACCUACUUUACACAGCAGACAUCCCAAUAAAUAUACUCCUAACAAUAUCAACUUUUUUCGAUGGUACAGCUAUUUUUAGCCGCUCAAAGUCUGCUUUCCAAGCUACAGAUCAACAAGCCUUACAUCUCAAAGACAUUAAAAGUGUCGAAUAAAAGUAAACAAACAAGAGUGCCCACCACUUUCGCACUCCUCAGGGCAGAAAAGGUGACUUACCUAGGCGUACACCCUGACAGAAAACUCACAAGGCGCAGGCAUAUUGAAGCCAUAAAACUCAUCUAAAACUUAAUAUCAGCAAUCUACAGUGGCUCAUAAACGUGCGCUCCCCGCUUAGGUCUUAUUAUACAAUUCUGAACAGAAACCAAUCUGGAUCUUUGCCUUACAGAUAGAGGGGAUUGCCAGUAAAAUUGAUAUCAUACAUUGAUAUCAAACAUAUAAGGUCUGUAACUACCAGUAUAAUAUAUAACUCCGAAAAAAUAUCACAGCAAGCUUUCUUCGCACCCUUACCACCUAACAAGAGGUCUAACGCAGCCCAGCAGUCGAUCCCACUUCCACAGAACGGACUUACCAACCAGUGAAUAAAUUUUUAGGGUCGUUAAACCAAAGUGUUGGGUCAAACCCCAAUUAAAAUAAUUUUGUUUAUAUUUGAAUUCCGCGCCUUUUGAAUGUUGUUAACAUAACAUAUGUUGUAUGAUGCUGCCAACUCGUACUAGCGAGUGAGUGGCAAAUAGGAAGAAGAAGACUGUAAAAGAGUGUGAAUAGAACAGAUUGAAGAAGAAGACUGAAA